rnacentral:rRNA from 1 species
UGGGGAAUAUUGCACAAUGGGCGAAAGCCUGAUGCAGCGACGCCGCGUGAGGGAUGACGGCCUUCGGGUUGUAAACCUCUUUCAGCAGGGACGAAGCGCAAGUGACGGUACCUGCAGAAGAAGCACCGGCUAACUACGUGCCAGCAGCCGCGGUAAUACGUAGGGUGCAAGCGUUGUCCGGAAUUACUGGGCGUAAAGAGUUCGUAGGCGGUUUGUCGCGUCGUUUGUGAAAACCAGCAACUCAACUGCUGGCUUGCAGGCGAUACGGGCAGACUUGAGUACUGCAGGGGAGACUGAAAUUCCUGGUGUAGCGGUGAAAUGCGCAGAUAUCAGGAGGAACACCGGUGGCGAAGGCGGGUCUCUGGGCAGUAACUGACGCUGAGGAACGAAAGCGUGGGUAGCGAACAGG